AUCCAGCUGAUGAGUCCUAAAUAGGGCGAAAUGCGCGUUAUCCUAGAU
rfam:Trichobilharzia regenti genome assembly, scaffold: TRE_scaffold0012381